CAAUAGCGUAUAUUAAAGUUGUUGCAGUUAGAACGCUCGUAGUCGGAUUUCGGGGCGGGCCGACCGGUCUGCCGAUGGGUAUGCACUGGUCGGCGCGUCCUUCCUUCCGGAGACCGUCCCUACUCUUAACUGAGCGGGGGCGGGAGACGGGACUUUUACUUUGAAAAAAUCAGAGUGUUUCAAGCAGGCAGCUCGCUCUUGCAUGGAUUAGCAUGGGAUAAUGAAAUAGGACUUUGGUGCUAUUUUGUUGGUUUCGAACACCGAAGUAAUGAUGAGAGGGGACAGUCAGGGGCACUCGUAUUCCGCCGAGAGAGGUGAAAUUCUCAGACCAGCGGAAGACGAACCACUGCGAAAGCAUUUGCCAGGGAUGUUUUCACUGA
rnacentral:rRNA from 1 species